rnacentral:tRNA from 1 species
GGCCGGUGAGCUCAGUUGGUUAGAGCGUGGUGUUAAUAACGCCAAGGUCGCGGGUUCAAUCCCCGUACGGGGCCA